AGUUGCCAUCAGUUCGGCUGGGCACUCUAUGGAGACUGGCCACCUAAAGUGGAGGAAGUGGGGAUGACGUCAAGUCAGCAUGGCCCUUACGUCCGGGGCUACACACGUGCUACAAUGGCCGGUACAAAGGGUUGCGAAGCCGUGAGGUGGAGCGAAUCUCAAAAAGACCGGCCUCAGUUCGGAUUGGAGGCUGCAACUCGCCUCCAUGAAGUCGGAAUCGCUAGUAACCGCAGAUCAGCUACGUUGCGGUGAAUACGUUCCCGGGCCUU
rnacentral:rRNA from 1 species